AUAACCUGCAUACAACCUCGAGGCUCUAGCAGCACCGUUACUUUCAGCAGGAGCGGCAAAGCCGCUGGACCCACCGCUACGGGUGCGUAACACGACGCGUUAAGGCAACGAAGCGCUCCUCGUACUUCGCAGGGCAGCGAAGCGCGCGGGCUCGGGAAGCCCGGGCUGCAGCUCGAGACGCGCUCCGCUCCCGUCAGGGGCCGCCGGUACCAGGCGCAACCACCUCCGUUCCUACUUCAGCGUGUAACAGCGCUUCAACGGACGGCGCCCUCGGUGUUUAACAACCUCCCGCCGACUGCAGCGCGGCAGGGCGCAGGGGCUGCGCUGGCCCCCUCCCUUCCCGAGCACGCUCGCGAGACCAGAAGUAUUUAUGUCAUUGCCUAGAAAGUCUGAGCAGAUGCCUGAACUAGCUUAUAUGCACCACUUAAAUUCCAAACUAUGGACUCAAUGUACCCACUUCUGCAAUACUUGGCCAAAACUCUCACUGAAGUCACACCUUUCACUUCAACAGCAGUUUCAGAUAAAUUUGGAUGCAACCACAAGCCUGGUAUGACAGAAUACUUCAGUUUAUAACAGACCGAUACCUCCAUACUGAAUGACUCAUUGCUUUGCAUGCAUUAAUCAAUCCACAGUAAUUCUGAGUGGUGGAUACAUAAAAAUUGCCUCCAUUUUACAGAGGAAAAAAACAAGCAAUCUAAACUGUGUUUUGGAAGAAUGAGAUAGAAAAGUCCCCAUCAACAGGCAAGGUUAGAGUCUUUUGGUUCCUAACACUUGUCUAUUAGGACUAUGCAGUGACUCAUGCCUCCCUCAUUUGCUGUAUACUUUUGAGAGUAAUUUCUAAAACAAUUAUUUUCAUAAGAAUUUUGCCAACAUAUGAACAAAGGCUCCUGACCCUAAAAAUGUAUUUGCAAGUGGGUGUUGUAAAUUUAAAAGUAUGGCAUUUUCACAGUAGUUCUGUGAAAACUGUUUCUGCUCUGUGCAUUAUAAUGUGGAAUAUUGCAUGUGCAGUCAUUACACAUAUUAUAUAAUGAAAAUAUACAAAUAUAGAAAAUUAGGAGUUGUUAAAGCUUUUGCUGUAAUAUUAGAUAUUAAUGGAAUUUAAUGUACAAAGAUAUACCACACUCUCUGGGAGUGGCUGAUGAUUUAAGGAAUAUGUUGAACAACUCUUCUAUGAUUCUAGCUCCUAAAAAAAACCACCCACUCACCAUGCAUGUAUUAAUUUUCUACAGUCUUUUAAUUUAAUUUAAAAAAAAAUGGAAGUCCAGUGUAUCAGCACAGAACUCAACUCAGGCUUUAACUCAAAUUUUUCCAUGUUGGUAUGGUAUAGAGUAAAACGUGAAAUUUACCCAUCGAGUUAAUUUCUUGCUCCCCUAAGGCUAAUUAGUGCAAAUUAAAUUUCCUGCUAAUCAUCCUAAGCAGCGAAUGUGUGAUAUGAAAUCCAGCAGUCCUACCGAUCGUGAUAAACCUCUAUUCAUGUGACUUAUGCACUGCAUAAAUUUCUUGAAACUAUUUUAACUGCAGUUUAUAGUCCGUUCCCAAAGUGGCAUGGUCAUAUGGUGUUGCUUUUUGCCUUGUAUUCACAGCUACAACACAU